UGAUUAACAGCAAUGGAGACAGGAGCAGAAAUGGGAAUGUUCGAUGUGAAAAUUGAAGACGUAUUAACAAAAUCAUGUAUCAAUAUGGCACUCAUCAGAAAAUAACCCAACAUUUAAUCAUGAACCAUUGAAUCCUGAGUUUCGUACAAGUACCAAAACAGUAAAGAUGGAUGCUUAUAAAGAGCUCAUAUUAGAACUAAAGUGCCUUCUUGAAUUAACACUAUACAUGUAGCAAGACACAUUAUAUGCGGGACUGAAUUGAGGAAAAGAGCCAGGAAACUGACAUUCUACGAAGCAUUCCAAAGAAAAGAUGGCAAAUGGGGAGAGCAAUGAAACAUGAUAAAUGCAAAAUUAGUUGUUUCUUUGAUUGUUUUAUUGAUGAACUUUAAAGGGGCAUGAAAAUGAUAGAGAUUUUUGUCACAAACUUCACAUGUUUGUAUGACAUUGAAUGUUUUAUUAUAUAUUAAAAAAUGGUU
rnacentral:lncRNA from 1 species